rnacentral:rRNA from 1 species
UACGUAGGGGGCUAGCGUUGUCCGGAAUCAUUGGGCGUAAAGAGCGUGUAGGCUGCUCGGUAAGUCCGCUGUAAAAGUCAAAGGCUCAACCUUUGAAUGUCAGUGGAUACUGCCGGGCUAGAGUCCGGAAGAGGCGAGUGGAACUCCUGGUGUAGCGGUGGAAUGCGCAGAUAUCAGGAGGAGCACCGGUGGCGAAGGCGGAUCUCUGGGCCAUUACUGACGCUGAGGAGCGAAAGCGUGGGGAGCGAACAGG